GUGCUCACUUUGACAGCACAUAUACUAAAAUUGGAAUGAUAUAGAGAAGAUUAGCAUGGCCCCUGUGCAAGGAUGACACGCAAAUUCAUGAAGAGUUCCAUAUUUUU
rnacentral:snRNA from 1 species